rnacentral:rRNA from 1 species
UACGUAGGGUGCAAGCGUUAAUCGGAAUUACUGGGCGUAAAGCGUGCGCAGGCGGUUUGGUAAGACAGAUGUGAAAUCCCCGGGCUCAACCUGGGAACUGCAUUUGUGACUGUAGAGCUGGAGUACGGCAGAGGGGGAUGGAAUUCCGCGUGUAGCAGUGAAAUGCGUAGAUAUGCGGAGGAACACCGAUGGCGAAGGCAAUCCCCUGGGCCUGCACUGACGCUCAUGCACGAAAGCUGGGGGAGCAAACAGG